CCACUGAACUGUAUUCCUAGCUCAGAGUGU
rnacentral:piRNA from 1 species